CCUACGGGUGGCAGCAGUAGGGAAUAUUGGUCAAUGGACGCAAGUCUGAACCAGCCAUGCCGCGUGCAGGAAGACGGCUCUAUGAGUUGUAAACUGCUUUUGUACGAGGGUAAACGCAGAUACGCGUAUCUGUCUGAAAGUAUCGUACGAAUACGGAUCGGCUAACUCCGUGCCAGCAGCCGCGGUAAUACGGAGGAUUCAAGCGUUAUCCGGAUUUAUUGGGUUUAAAGGGUGCGUAGGCGGUCGGAUAAGUUAGAGGUGAAAUCCCGAGGCUCAACUUCGGAAUUGCCUCUGAUACUGUGCGGCUAGAGAGUAGUUGCGGUAGGCGGAAUGUAUGGUGUAGCGGUGAAAUGCUUAGAGAUCAUACAGAACACCGAUUGCGAAGGCAGCUUACCAAGCUACUUCUGACGUUGAGGCACGAAAGCGUGGGGAGCAAACAGGAUUAGAUACCCCUGUAGUC
rnacentral:rRNA from 1 species